AUUGAACGCUGGCGGCAGGCCUAACACAUGCAAGUCGAGCGGAUGAAAGGGGCUUGCUCCUGGAUUCAGCGGCGGACGGGUGAGUAAUGCGCAGGAAUCUACCUAGUAGUGGGGGAUAACGUUUCGAAAGGAACGCUAAUACCGCAUACGUUCUGAGGAAGAAAGCAGGGGAUCGUAAGACCUUGCGCUAUUAGAUGAGCUUGCGUCCGAUUAGCUAGUUGGUGGGGUAAAGGCCUACCAAGGCGACGAUCGGUAACUGGUCUGAGAGGAUGAUCAGUCACACUGGGACUGAGACACGGUCCAGACUCCUACGGGAGGCAGCAGUGGGGAAUAUUGGACAAUGGGGGCAACCCUGAUCCAGCCAUGCCGCGUGUGUGAAGAAGGCCUCGGUUGUAAG
rnacentral:rRNA from 1 species